rnacentral:rRNA from 1 species
UACGUAGGGUGCGAGCGUUGUCCGGAAUUAUUGGGCGUAAAGAGCUCGUAGGCGGCUUGUCGCGUCGGAUGUGAAAGCCCGGGGCUUAACUCCGGGUCUGCAUUCGAUACGGGCAGGCUAGAGUUCGGUAGGGGAGAGCGGAAUUCCUGGUGUAGCGGUGAAAUGCGCAGAUAUCAGGAGGAACACCGGUGGCGAAGGCGGAUCUGUGGGCCGAUACUGACGCUGAGGAGCGAAAGCGUGGGGAGCGAACAGG